GGAGAAAAAUUCAAGACCAUCAUGAAAAACCUGCAAAAGGAAAUCUCUGAAGCAGAGGAACUUGUCAUGGCUUCAUUAGAAUGGGUAGAAGAUCCUGAUGAGGACAUGGAACAGGCCUGGGAAAGAAAACUUGUGGCCCUCAAGCAAGAACUAGGGGAAAAAAGACAUCUUUGGACCCAGAAACUCCAACUUUUGGAAAAAUGCAAUGAGUCCUUAGAGGAGGAUUUUCUUCGAGUGGCAGACAACCUGAGG
rnacentral:lncRNA from 1 species